CGGCCGUAACUAUAACGGUCCUAAGGUAGCGAAAUUCCUUGUCGGGUAAGUUCCGACCCGCACGAAAGGCGUAACGAUUUGGGCACUGUCUCAACGAGAGACUCGGUGAAAUCAUAGUACCUGUGAAGAUGCAGGUUACCCGCGACAGGACGGAAAGACCCCGUGGAGCUUUACUGUAGCCUGAUAUUGAAAUUCGGCACAGCUUGUACAGGAUAGGUAGGAGCCUUUGAAACGUGAGCGCUAGCUUACGUGGAGGCGCUGGUGGGAUACUACCCUAGCUGUGUUGGCUUUCUAACCCGCACCACUUAUCGUGGUGGGAGACAGUGUCAGGCGGGCAGUUUGACUGGGGCGGUCGCCUCCUAAAAGGUAACGGAGGCGCUCAAAGGUUCCCUCAGAAUGGUUGGAAAUCAUUCAUAGAGUGUAAAGGCAUAAGGGAGCUUGACUGCGAGACCUACAAGUCGAG
rnacentral:rRNA from 1 species